rnacentral:rRNA from 1 species
UGGGGGGGUCUAUACAUGCAAGUCGAGCGGACAGAUGGGAGCUUGCUCCCUGAUGUUAGCGGCGGACGGGUGAGUAACACGUGGGUAACCUGCCUGUAAGACUGGGAUAACUCCGGGAAACCGGGGCUAAUACCGGAUGGUUGUUUGAACCGCAUGGUUCAAACAUAAAAGGUGGCUUCGGCUACCACUUACAGAUGGACCCGCGGCGCAUUAGCUAGUUGGUGAGGUAACGGCUCACCAAGGCAACGAUGCGUAGCCGACCUGAGAGGGUGAUCGGCCACACUGGGACUGAGACACGGCCCAGACUCCUACGGGAGGCAGCAGUAGGGAAUCUUCCGCAAUGGACGAAAGUCUGACGGAGCAACGCCGCGUGAGUGAUGAAGGUUUUCGGAUCGUAAAGCUCUGUUGUUAGGGAAGAACAAGUACCGUUCGAAUAGGGCGGUACCUUGACGGUACCUAACCAGAAAGCCACGGCUAACUACGUGCCAGCAGCCGCGGUAAUACGUAGGUGGCAAGCGUUGUCCGGAAUUAUUGGGCGUAAAGGGCUCGCAGGCGGUUUCUUAAGUCUGAUGUGAAAGCCCCCGGCUCAACCGGGGAGGGUCAUUGGAAACUGGGGAACUUGAGUGCAGAAGAGGAGAGUGGAAUUUCCACGUGUAGCGGUGAAAUGCGUAGAGAUGUGGAGGAACACCAGUGGCGAAGGCGACUCUCUGGUCUGUAACUGACGCUGAGGAGCGAAAUCGUGGGGGAGCGAACAGGAUUAGAUACCCUGGUAGUCCACGCCGUAAACGAUGAGUGCUAAGUGUAAGGGGGUUUCCGCCCCUUUAUUGCUGCAGCUAAC